UCCGGGUGUGGUUGUGCACACCUGUAGUCCCAGUUACCAGGAGGCUGAGGUGGGAGGAUCUCUUGAGCCCAGGAGUUUGAGGCUGCAGUGAGCUACGAUCAUGCCACUGCCCUCCAGCCUGGGCAACAGAGCAAGAUUCUGUCUCUU
rfam:Pan troglodytes isolate Yerkes chimp pedigree #C0471 (Clint) chromosome 12, whole genome shotgun sequence.